CUCCUGCCUCAGCCUCCCAAGCCACUGGGGGGACAGGUGUGCACCACUGGCUUGAUCGACCACUUUAUUUCGAGAUGGGGUCUUGCUCAGUGGCUUAUGGCCUGGCUGAGUUGUCGAGGCCGACUUGGAACUCGUGACCCUCCUGCCUCAGCCUUUUAAGCCACUGGAUUCUAGGUGUGUGCCUCCGUACCCCUCCUGUGAUCUUCUUACUUAGGGAAAAAAAAAAACAACCCCGCUGUGCCUCAGUUUCCCCAUCUGUAAAGCAGGAAUGAGAGUGGUGUGUUUGAGUGGACUUAGAAUAAUAUCUGGCAAAGAAACACUCCGGGAUCUUUCCAAGCAGCCUGCCAUGUUGGGUCACAGGCUCAGAUAUGAAAUGUGACUCCGCUCCCAGAAGGAACCGAGAUGUUUUAAAAUUGUUUUUUGUUUGUUUGUUUGUUUUUGUACCAGGGAUUGAACCCAGGGGUACUUAACCGUUAGUCACCUCCCCAGCCCUAUUUUUUUUAUUUUAUUUAGAGACGGUCUCCACUGAGUUGCUUAGAGCCUCACUGAGUUGCUGAGGCUGGCCUCCAACUUGCGAUCCUCCUGCCUCAGCCUCCCGAGUCACUGGGAUGACAGGUGCCCACCAGGCCCGGCCAGAGUCAAGAUUUCCUGCGAGGACCGAUAUGUGGUCGGCUUUUCCAGAAUAUUCCAUUUGUGGUCAAGAGAGUGUUGUUAAAAUUGCCUGCUGAGGAUCUGGGUUCAUCUGCUUGUAGCCCUGCCAGGUCCUGCUCCGUGUAUUUAAAAUCACGGCCGAGGCGCAACGGAAAUGAUGCUUGAUUGUUCCUUGUUUUGUUGCAGGGCGCCCAGCAUCUUUUGGUCGCCUUCCAGUUUCAACCUGGGUGACUCUGGAUCUUUGAGACCGGGAGCCUUCCAAUUAGUUUUUGUAAUAAAAAUCACAGAUGCCAAGUGUA